CAGUCGCCGCGGGAAUACGAAGGGGGCUAGCGUUGCUCGGAAUGACUGGGCGUAAAGGGCGCGUAGGCGGAUCACGCAGUCAGAUGUGAAAUUCCUGGGCUUAACCUGGGGGCUGCAUUUGAGACGCGUGGUCUAGAGUGUGAGAGAGGGUCGUGGAAUUCCCAGUGUAGAGGCGAAAUUCGUAGAUAUUGGGAAGAACACCGGUGGCGAAGGCGGCGACCUGGUUCAUUACUGACGCUGAGGCGCGAAAGCGUGGGGAGCAAACAGGAUUAGAUACCCCCGUAGUCCCUGUCUCUUAUAC
rnacentral:rRNA from 1 species